rnacentral:rRNA from 1 species
UUCAACGGCCGCAGUAUUCUAACUGUGCGAAGGUAGCGUAAUCACUUGUUUUCUAAAUAAAGACCAGUAUGAAAGGCAUCACGAGGAUUAAGCUGUCUCCUCUUUCCAAUCAGUGAACCUAAUCUCCCCGUGAAGAAGCGGGGAUUAAAAUAUAAGACGAGAAGACCCUGUGGAGCUUAAAACUUAUAACACCUGCCUAUUCUUAAUUACACCUCGGUACUUCACCCAAAAGGCAUCCUGAAUUAUACGUUUUUGGUUGGGGUGACCGCGGAGAAAAACUAAUCCUCCACAAUGAAAGGGGACCUCCCCUAAGCAAUAAGUUACAACUUUAUGCAUCAAAAAACUGACAUCAUCGACCCAAUAAAUUGAUCAAUGAACCAAGUUACCCCAGGGAUAACAGCACAAUCCGCUUUGAGAGCUCCUAUCGACAAGCGGGCUUAUGACCUCGAUGUUGGAUCGGGAUGUCCUAGUGGCGUAGCCGCUACUAAGGGU